GUCUACCACCACGCCACGCUGAACAAGCCCAAUCCGUCUGAUCUCGGAAGCUAAGCAGGGUCGGGCCUGGUUAGUACUUGGAUGGGAGACCACCCGGGAAGACCAGGUGCUGCAGGCG
rnacentral:rRNA from 1 species